rnacentral:lncRNA from 1 species
CCGCCGCCGCCAUUUAACUAAUAACCCUUCUUUCAAAAGGAAAGAAAAAAAAAAAAAAGCACAAGAAAGGCUGAAUAACUGAAUAAAUCUAACGUCAUGGCUUUUAAAAAUUAAAAUCUUCUGCUCAAUCAAGCAAAUAAGUGGAUGACUUCACAGAGCCUGCACGUCAUGCUCAUAGGAGGAACAGUGUCCCCUCACUGGGACAGUCACACAGGUGCUGCUGCCUUUCCUCUACCUAAGACCUGUGGUCUCUGUGGACGCAGCAGCAUGGAACCUGAAGCAGCCAGUUGCUGGCUUUCUCUACAGUAGGGUCGCUUUUUCAUUCUCGCAGUAGCGGAGAGAAAGCCGUAGGCAAGCUCUAUUAUAUGAGUUACACUCGUAGCCUUCAAACUACCUGUAACACAUGGAUGUGACCAGUGACAGGGCUCAGUAGGUGACACACCUGCAAAGCCUGACGACCUGUGUUUGAUCUCUGGGCCAUGUGGCGGAGGAAAAUCACUUCCCACAAGUUGUCCUCUGACCCCACACGGGUAUACACACAAUGUAUACAUUAAUUAUUGUCCUCUGCGUCCACACGGGUAUACACACAAUGUAUACAUUAAUUAUGCUGUGGGAUGUGUCUCUCUGGCAGAAUGCUUGCCUGCCAAUCAAGAGGACCUCGGUCAGCUGGGUGGCGGCCGCACGCCUUUGAUCCCAGCAUCGGGAGGCAAAGGCAGGAGAAUGUCUGAGUUCUUGGCCAGCCUGGUUUACAAAGCAAGUUCUAGAACAGCCCGAGGUGUUAUACAGAGAAGACCUGUCUUGAAAAAAAACACGCAUGCACACUCACUCACUCACUCACUCACGCACCAGUAAGAACCUACUUGAAAAACCAAGGAUCAGCUGAGACAGGGCCUCAGGGCAGAGGUAGUCAACAGGGGCUCGGGACACAAAAGCAGCUCCUCAGAUCCAGUUAAACUACUGUACCGUCUGGAAGUAGUAGCUCUUCUCUAUGUACAUAAACUAUGUAAAACACUUUCGCAUAAAGACUUGAACACACGUGUUCAUAGCAGCAUUGUUUGCAUCACGCAAUAAGAAACACUUCAGACCUGCGAUGGGAUGGAGAAGCGAAACGAGAUGUGCUAAGGCAAUGCAAUGGAAUAUUAUUCAGCCACAGUGAGGAAUAAAGAUCUUAUCAUACACUUCCACAGAGACC